GAAGCGAGCUACACAUGCAGUCGAGCGGCAGCACGGGAAGCUUGCUUCCUGGUGGCGAGCGGCGGACGGGUGAGUAAUGCAUAGGAAUCUGCCCGGUAGUGGGGGAUAACCUGGGGAAACCCAGGCUAAUACCGCAUACGUCCUACGGGAGAAAGCAGGGGCUCUUCGGACCUUGCGCUAUCGGAUGAGCCUAUGUCGGAUUAGCUGGUUGGUGAGGUAAUGGCUCACCAAGGCGACGAUCCCGUAGCUGGUCUGAAGAGGAUGAUCAGGCCACAUCGGGGACUGAGACACGGCCCGGAACUCCUACGGGAGGCAGCAGUGGGGAAUAUUGGACAAUGGGCGCAAGCCUGAUCCAGCCAUGCCGCGUGUGUGAAGAAGGCCCUCGGGGUUGUAAAGCACUUUCAGUGGGGAAGAAAGCCUUGCUGGUUAAUACCCGGCAGGAAGGACAUCACCCACAGAAGAAGCACCGGCUAACUCCGUGCCAGCAGCCGCGGUAAUACGGAGGGUGCGAGCGUUAAUCGGAAUUACUGGGCGUAAAGCGCGCGUAGGUGGCUUGAUAAGCCGGUUGUGAAAGCCCCGGGCUCAACCUGGGAACGGCAUCCGGAACUGUCAGGCUAGAGUGCAGGAGAGGAAGGUAGAAUUCCCGGUGUAGCGGUGAAAUGCGUAGAGAUCGGGAGGAAUACCAGUGGCGAAGGCGGCCUUCUGGACUGACACUGACACUGAGGUGCGAAAGCGUGGGUAGCAAACAGGAUUAGAUACCCUGGUAGUCCACGCCGUAAACGAUGUCGACUAGCCGUUGGGUCCUUCGCGGACUUUGUGGCGCAGUUAACGCGAUAAGUCGACCGCCUGGGGAGUACGGCCGCAAGGUUAAAACUCAAAUGAAUUGACGGGGGCCCGCACAAGCGGUGGAGCAUGUGGUUUAAUUCGAUGCAACGCGAAGAACCUUACCUACCCUUGACAUCCUGCGAACCCUUCGGAGACGAAGGGGUGCCUUCGGGAACGCAGAGACAGGUGCUGCAUGGCUGUCGUCAGCUCGUGUUGUGAAAUGUUGGGUUAAGUCCCGUAACGAGCGCAACCCUUUGUCCCUAUUUGCCAGCGAUUCCGGUCGGGAACUCUAAGGGAGACUGCCGGUGACAAACCCGAAGGAAGGUGGGGGACGAACGUCAAGUCAUCCUGGGCCCUUACGGGUAGGGCUACCCCCUUGCUACAAUGGUCAGUACAAAAGGGUUGCGAACUUUGCGAGAUUGGAGCCAAUCCCAGAAAGCUGAUCUCAGUCCGGAUCGGAGUCUGCAACUCGACUCCGUGAAGUCGGAAUCGCUAGUAAUCGUGAAUCAGAAUGUCACGGUGAAUACGUUCCCGGGCCUUGUACACACCGCCCGUCACACCAUGGGAGUGGACUGCACCAGAAGUGGUUAGCCUAACCUUCGGGAGGGCGUCACCACGGGUUAACA
rnacentral:rRNA from 1 species